AUGUCUGAUUUUUACGGUUCCUAACCCGAUGGUAUUAUCAAACUCCAUUGAAACCAAACGAGUAGUGUUAGGGUGAAAAUUGAAUUUUUUUUCUUUUUUAGUCGAUUUAGUAAUUGAAUUUUGAUGGCAACAAAUGUUUCCAAAUCAAGUUACCACCAAUAACCCCAGUUGGGGUCUGCAGGCCAUAUAUAAACCCCAGAACACAAAAAAGCAACAGAAAAAGUGAACCCUCAUCCUAAUCUCCCGCCAAAAUGUCAGAGCCGUUUCGUUCACUCGUUUUGAACAGAAGAUUUGGCUAUGAGACUCUUCGCGUUCUGGAAUUAAUUUUGGUUUCCAAGGACGUGAAGUCGUCGGUGGAAGUCCAAUCCGGCUUGAGGCAGUUCAUGAGGUCUGAAUCCCUCUCCGUUCUGAAAGAAAUUUCUGAGAAAAACGUAGAGGAGAAGCUUCUGGUUCUCGAAUUUCUCGUUCGCACUUUCGCGCUCGUCGGCGAUGUUGAGAGUUGCUUGGCUUUGAGAUAUGAGGCUUUGCUUUUGCGAGAUCUCAAGUCUAGAACUCACCAAUGGCUAGAGGUGCUAUAUCUGGAAUGGCAGAACUUUGCUCAGCAGUCACUGGACAAUGGUUUCUAUUCAAUUGCGGCAAAGGCUUGUGAAAAUGCAUUGUUAUCCCUUGAGGGGAAGUCUGCUGAACAGCCUACACCAGAUGGAGUUUGCAUUGAGAGGAUAUCUACUGAAGACCCCAAAACAGAUGAAGUCUUUGAAACUGAACAAGUUAUUCAAAAGAUAAAGAAACUCAAGGAAUGUGCCAUGGCAUCUGCUUCUUCCCACUCAGUUCAAACGCAAACGGCAGACUACAUGAAAAAGAGACUAAAACAGAAGAGUAUGGUGUGCUCUCCAGUUCUCAAGAAGACAACAUGUGUAGCCAGCACUUUGUUCAGAAAUGGAAUCAAAAAGCGGAAUCAGCGAAAAUUGAAUGAAAGCGGAAGCUUAUUAGGGUGGAGUUGAGUGGUUGAUGGCUAGUAGCGUAGUCAAAUCAUAGACGUUGGUAACACCCCUUGUGCUCAUCUUAGAAAGGAACCUUGAAGUUCCAUACUCAGCAGAGGAAGACUAUAGUUGUAUUUGGUUUGUGUACCAAGUCCUGUACCAUAGAGCAGGCCAAAUACCAGUCUUGCAGCAGGCACAGGGACAGAUGGCAUUCAGCUUGCUCACUUCUUAGGGCCCAAGGACAAAAAGAAGGCAGCCGCUAACAGCUAUACAGCAACAAAUUAUUAGGGUGGCCCUGCCGCUUUUACCCACCGCUUUCGUUUACCCCCAAUAUUUUUCAUGGCUGGCAUUGGAAAUCCAACACCACUCUGUUCAAGCAAAUUGAA